CCUACGGGAGGCAGCAGUGAGGAAUAUUGGUCAAUGGACGCGAGUCUGAACCAGCCAUGCCGCGUGCAGGAUGACGGCUCUAUGGGUUGUAAACUUCUUUUGUACGAGGGUAAACUCAGACACGCGUAUCUGUCUGUAUGUAUCUUACGAAUAAGGAUCGGCUAACUCCGUGCCAGCAGCCGCGGUAAUACGGAGGAUUCGAGCGUUAUCCGGAUUUAUUGGGUUUAAAGGGUGCGUAGGCGGGUGGAUAAGUUAGAGGUGAAAUCCCGAGGCUCAACUUCGGAAUUGCCUGUGAUACUGGUAGGCUAGAGAGUAGUUGAGGUAGGCGGAAUGUAUGGUGUAGCGGUGAAAUGCUUAGAGAUCAUACAGAACACCGAUUGCGAAGGCAGCUUACCAAGCUACUUCUGACGUUGAGGCACGAAAGCGUGGGGAGCAAACAGGAUUAGAUACCCUGGUAGUC
rnacentral:rRNA from 1 species